rnacentral:rRNA from 1 species
ACGCUCGACACCUACGGGAGGCAGCAGUGGGGAAUAUUGCACAAUGGGGGAAACCCUGAUGCAGCGACGCCGCGUGAGCGAAGAAGUAUUUCGGUAUGUAAAGCUCUAUCAGCAGGGAAGAAACUGACGGUACCUGACUAAGAAGCACCGGCUAAAUACGUGCCAGCAGCUGCGGUAAUCUGAGCGGGCUGGCAAGGC